GUCCCCUAGAGGACGCAGUUCGAAGUUCCCUCGAAAGGGAACAACUCCUUUCAGCUCUCUAAAAAAAUGGAUCUCGUUUUAUCUGAAACAGUCGGUUUCAGUAUAUUUUUUAUAACGGUUUCAUUUAUAACCUUUUUUUAAAAAAGAACAGAAUGUUUUUCAACCUUAGAAUAUGUAUAUUAUAUAAAGAACUACGUGUUUUCAAAGUCUGUUGUACUGUGGCAGGCACGCUCUCUCUCUGUCUCACUCCCUGGGGCACGAGCACGGCUCAACCGUGUGCUAUCUUUCAUAGAGAGUCCGACAGAUGGAGCUGGAGCCCGUUUCUCACAAAGCUGAAGCUUCUGUCUAAAUAAGGUGUUGUUAUACAAAAAGGGCUGUGAAGAAAAGGAGUUCCUUGUAAAUACUCGGUCCAGUGACUGCAGAAAAACAUGUCAUACCAUCAAGAGUCAAUGAGCGUUACGGAGAGAGAGUCAGUCACUCUACACACUGGUGUUGAAAACAUCAGACAACAUAAUAUUAGAUGGUAUUUUAAUGGCAUUCAAAUCGCUGAAAUAAAUGGAGAUCAGAGUAAGAUCUGUACAGAUGUUCAGUGUAAUGAGAGAUUCAGAGGCAGACUGAUUCUGGAUGAUCAGACUGGAUCUCUGACCAUCACAAACAUCAGCAGAACAGAUGCUGGUGAAUAUUGUCUAAAGAUCAUCAACAGUGAGAUCAGUACAAAGAUCUUUAAAGUUACUGUCAAUGGUGUUCCUGCUGCUAAACAAGAUGCAAUGAAGAUAAAGAAAAAAUAGGGAAAAUCUGUCACUUUACAUUCUGGUGUGUUAAAAAAAAUCAUAAUAACUUGAUUUGGUAUUUUAAUGACACUUGUAUAGCUGAAAUCAGUGGAGAUCAGAGUAGGACCAGUGUAAAUGAGCAGUGUCCUGAGAGAUUCAGAAAUAGACUGAAGCUGGACAAUCAGACUGGAAAUCACAAACACCAGAACCACAGACUCUGGAGUUUAUUAUCGAGAGAUCAGCAGCAGCAAUAUUAGCAGCUCUAAGAGCUUUAAUGUUACUGACAUUAGUUCUGCUCAGUCUUCAGUUCUAAGAGCAGUAAUACGGUCUCCUUUUACUAUUAUGAUAGUGGCUGUAGCUGUUGUUUCUGGUAUAAUUAACUAUCUCCGCAGGAGCUUCAG